GUUAUAUGGUCAAGUGAAGAAGCGCAUACGGUGGAUGCCUUGGCAGUCAGAGGCGAUGAAAGACGUGGUAGCCUGCGAAAAGCUUCGGGGAGUCGGCAAACAGACUUUGAUCCGGAGAUGUCUGAAUGGGGGAACCCAGCCAUCAUAAGAUGGUUAUCUUGUACUGAAUACAUAGGUGCAAGAGGCGAACCAGGGGAACUGAAACAUCUAAGUACCCUGAGGAAAAGAAAUCAACCGAGAUUCCCUUAGUAGUGGCGAGCGAACGGGGACUAGCCCUUAAGUGGCUUUGAGAUUAGCGGAACGCUCUGGAAAGUGCGGCCAUAGUGGGUGAUAGCCCUGUACGCGAAAAUCUCUUAGUCAUGAAAUCGAGUAGGACGGAGCACGAGAAACUUUGUCUGAAUAUGGGGGGACCAUCCUCCAAGGCUAAAUACUACUGACUGACCGAUAGUGAACUAGUACCGUGAGGGAAAGGCGAAAAGAACCCCGGAGAGGGGAGUGAAAUAGAUCCUGAAACCGUAUGCGUACAAGCAGUGGGAGCAGACUUUGUUCUGUGACUGCGUACCUUUUGUAUAAUGGGUCAGCGACUUAUUUUCAGUGGCGAGCUUAACCGAAUAGGGGAGGCGUAGCGAAAGCGAGUCUUAAUAGGGCGUCUAGUCGCUGGGAAUAGACCCGAAACCGGGGCGAUCUAUCCAUGGGCAGGUUGAAGGUUGGGUAACACUAACUGGAGGACCGAACCGACUACCGUUGAAAAGUUAGCGGAUGACCUGUGGAUCGGAGUGAAAGGCUAAUCAAGCUCGGAGAUAGCUGGUUCUCCUCGAAAGCUAUUUAGGUAGCGCCUCAUGUAUCACUGUAGGGGGUAGAGCACUGUUUCGGCUAGGGGGUCAUCCCGACUUACCAAACCGAUGCAAACUCCGAAUACCUACAAGUGCCGAGCAUGGGAGACACACGGCGGGUGCUAACGUCCGUCGUGAAAAGGGAAACAACCCAGACCGUCAGCUAAGGUCCCAAAGUUAUGGUUAAGUGGGAAACGAUGUGGGAAGGCUUAGACAGCUAGGAGGUUGGCUUAGAAGCAGCCACCCUUUAAAGAAAGCGUAAUAGCUCACUAGUCGAGUCGGCCUGCGCGGAAGAUGUAACGGGGCUCAAACCAUACACCGAAGCUACGGGUAUCACGUAAGUGAUGCGGUAGAGGAGCGUUCUGUAAGCCUGUGAAGGUGAGUUGAGAAGCUUGCUGGAGGUAUCAGAAGUGCGAAUGCUGACAUGAGUAACGACAAUGGGUGUGAAAAACACCCACGCCGAAAGACCAAGGUUUCCUGCGCAACGUUAAUCGACGCAGGGUUAGUCGGUCCCUAAGGCGAGGCUGAAAAGCGUAGUCGAUGGAAAACAGGUUAAUAUUCCUGUACUUCUGGUUAUUGCGAUGGAGGGACGGAGAAGGCUAGGCCAGCUUGGCGUUGGUUGUCCAAGUUUAAGGUGGUAGGCUGGAAUCUUAGGUAAAUCCGGGAUUCUAAGGCCGAGAGCUGAUGACGAGUUAUCUUUUAGAUAACGAAGUGGUUGAUGCCAUGCUUCCAAGAAAAGCUUCUAAGCUUCAGGUAACCAGGAACCGUACCCCAAACCGACACAGGUGGUUGGGUAGAGAAUACCAAGGCGCUUGAGAGAACUCGGGUGAAGGAACUAGGCAAAAUGGCACCGUAACUUCGGGAGAAGGUGCGCCGGUGAGGGUGAAGGACUUGCUCCGUAAGCUCAUGCCGGUCGAAGAUACCAGGCCGCUGCGACUGUUUAUUAAAAACACAGCACUCUGCAAACACGAAAGUGGACGUAUAGGGUGUGACGCCUGCCCGGUGCCGGAAGGUUAAUUGAUGGGGUUAGCUAACGCGAAGCUCUUGAUCGAAGCCCCGGUAAACGGCGGCCGUAACUAUAACGGUCCUAAGGUAGCGAAAUUCCUUGUCGGGUAAGUUCCGACCUGCACGAAUGGCGUAACGAUGGCGGCGCUGUCUCCACCCGAGACUCAGUGAAAUUGAAAUCGCUGUGAAGAUGCAGUGUAUCCGCGGCUAGACGGAAAGACCCCGUGAACCUUUACUAUAGCUUUGCACUGGACUUUGAAUUUGCUUGUGUAGGAUAGGUGGGAGGCUUUGAAGCGUGGACGCCAGUUCGCGUGGAGCCAUCCUUGAAAUACCACCCUGGCAACUUUGAGGUUCUAACUCAGGUCCGUUAUCCGGAUCGAGGACAGUGUAUGGUGGGUAGUUUGACUGGGGCGGUCUCCUCCUAAAGAGUAACGGAGGAGUACGAAGGUGCGCUCAGACCGGUCGGAAAUCGGUCGUAGAGUAUAAAGGCAAAAGCGCGCUUGACUGCGAGACAGACACGUCGAGCAGGUACGAAAGUAGGUCUUAGUGAUCCGGUGGUUCUGUAUGGAAGGGCCAUCGCUCAACGGAUAAAAGGUACUCCGGGGAUAACAGGCUGAUACCGCCCAAGAGUUCAUAUCGACGGCGGUGUUUGGCACCUCGAUGUCGGCUCAUCACAUCCUGGGGCUGAAGCCGGUCCCAAGGGUAUGGCUGUUCGCCAUUUAAAGUGGUACGCGAGCUGGGUUUAGAACGUCGUGAGACAGUUCGGUCCCUAUCUGCCGUGGACGUUUGAGAUUUGAGAGGGGCUGCUCCUAGUACGAGAGGACCGGAGUGGACGAACCUCUGGUGUUCCGGUUGUCACGCCAGUGGCAUUGCCGGGUAGCUAUGUUCGGAAUAGAUAACCGCUGAAAGCAUCUAAGCGGGAAACUAGCCUCAAGAUGAGAUCUCACUGGAACCUUGAGUUCCCUGAAGGGCCGUCGAAGACUACGACGUUGAUAGGUUGGGUGUGUAAGCGCUGUGAGGCGUUGAGCUAACCAAUACUAAUUGCCCGUGAGGCUUGACCAUAUAACACCCAAGCAAUU
rnacentral:rRNA from 1 species